UACAGAGGUCUCAAGCGUUGUUCGGAUUCAUUGGGCGUAAAGGGUGCGUAGGUGGCGCUGUAAGUCGGGUGUGAAAUUUCGGAGCUUAACUCCGAAACUGCAUUCGAUACUGCGGUGCUUGAGGACUGGAGAGGAGACUGGAAUUCAUGGUGUAGCAGUGAAAUGCGUAGAGAUCAUGAGGAAGACCAGUGGCGAAGGCGGGUCUCUGGACAGUUCCUGACAGCUGGAGGCACGAAGGCCAGGGGAGCAAACGGG
rnacentral:rRNA from 1 species